UUUUUCUCUCUCUAAAUCCCCCCAGGCUCGAGGAACUGAAGACGCCCCUUGGCUGUGAUGUGUGGGUUGUAGUUUGCCAUCUCGUCCUGCGUCUGCAGGUUCCUUUCAGAUGCCGGUUAUCUCAGCCACGUCUUCUUCCUGCUGGAGACAUUCCAUCUCAGGAGCCCUGGCUACAUUCGCCCUCCAUUGUCCUCGGAGAAUAACAGAAAGAACAGAUGAAGCCGCACAGAAUGGGUCCGUGCCUGUUCACGUGGAGUUUAGAAGCCCCGAAGGAUCUCUUGACUGGCUUUGAAGGACUGGGCUCACGCCAUUUGUUGGGGUGGUGUAGAGAAGAUGAAGCCAUUACUUGGAUGGUCCAACGAAGGCGUCCUGGCUCUGGGCUGCUUCUGAGUGGCAUCUGUCGGGCCCAAAUGGACUUUGCAAAGACACUUGUUUUCCAACAGAGAUAAAAAAUAUGCUUCAGGGGAAAAAAGAUCAUCAUUCAACCAUUUGGGAAAGAGAAAGAUUUAUU